GGAAAACAUAUACCCGCUAGCAACAUCAUGUAGCAGGAGGAAGUGUAGUGUGCGGUUUUGAUUCCUUUCCAUGGAUGUGUCACCACUGGUAUCAUGCAGGCUUCGAGAUGCUGCAAGGCUUCAAGCUAACACCAGAUGCACCGCUUUGAAGGCAAAACCGUUCAUGCUGAGGUGGUGAUUUGGCGAUGCAGUUAUAGCUCUAGAUAUACUCAAGAGACGUGACAGUAACCAGGCAACAAUCAAAUCGAGUUAACUGGCUAAGGCCUCCUGCAAGAUCUCAUUUUUACGCAAACCAGCCUAAAGUUUGACACCAGAGUGACGAGAUCCACAUGAUGAAAUUGUUAGAGAAACUGAAUUUUCUUGCCCCUGCUUCCGGUCUCUGGGCUGAGUGCUGGCUGCAGCCACCAACAGAUGAUUGCAACCUUUACUCCUGAGGACCACUUGAUCCGCAGACAGGGGGAAAAAAAAAAAAUCCGCAAGCAGUUAAUGAGUUGCCAUCCUUUCCUAGUGUUAAGGGUGUCUACAAAUUAACAGAGGCUUUUGUCAGGGCUCUCCUUUGCUCUCUCUCUCUUGCUCCCCCCUUGCCUCCUCUUGCCGCCACUUUCUCUCCUCAUCCUUGCGCCCUCCCCUCCAUCACGCCCUUCCUCCUGCUCUUCAAUUUUCUCUCUCUACCUGCCUGCUUCACGCUCCAGUAGCUCAGUGGCGGGAGCAGCGCUGUCUGGCUUUGGCUCUGAGCAGCAUUUAUUGUCAGCGCGGUUCAUGUUUAGAAUUAGCCAUUUAAUGAGAACAAAAGAAAUUAAUUGGUGGUUUAAGCCUAAUGAGACGUCUGUGAAAUUAACAGGCCUCAUCAAUUGAAACAAAUAAAAUCCUCCAGC
ensembl:lncRNA